UACGAAGGGGGCAAGCGUUGUUCGGAAUUACUGGGCGUAAAGGGCGCGUAGGCGGCUUAUCAAGUCAGGCGUGAAAUUCCCGGGCUCAACCUGGGGGCUGCGCUUGAUACUGAUGAGCUUGAAUGCGGGAGAGGAUAGUGAAUUCCCAGUGUAGAGGUGAAAUUCGUAGAUAUUGGGAAGAACACCGGUGGCGAAGGCGGCUAUCUGGCCCGUAAUUGACGCUGAGGCGCGAAAGCGUGGGGAGCAAACAGGAUUAGAAAC
rnacentral:rRNA from 1 species